UUUGAUCCNNGCUCAGAACGAACGCUGGCGGCAUGCCUAACACAUGCAAGUCGAACCGAACCUUCGGGGUUAGUGGCGCACGGGUGCGUAACGCGUGGGAACCUGCCUUUAGGUUCGGAAUAACUCAGAGAAAUUUGACGCUAAUACCGGAUAAUGUCUUCGGACCAAAGAUUUAUCGCCUUUAGAUGGGCCCGCGUUAGAUUAGAUAGUUGGUGGGGUAAUGGCCUACCAAGUCGACGAUCUAUAGCUGGUCUGAGAGGAUGAUCAGCCACACUGGGACUGAGACACGGCCCAGACUCUACGGGAGGCAGCAGUGGGGAAUAUUGGACAAUGGGCGAAAGCCUGAUCCAGCAAUGCCGCGUGAGUGAUGAAGGCCUUAGGGUUGUAAAGCUCUUUUACCAGGGAUGAUAAUGACAGUACCUGGAGAAUAAGCUCCGGCUAACUCCGUGCCAGCGAGCCGCGGUAAUACGGAGGGAGCUAGCGUUGUUCGGAAUUACUGGGCGUAAAGCGCGCGUAGGCGGMUAUUUAAGUCAGGGGUGAAAUCCCGGAGCUCAACUCCGGAACUGCCUUUGAAACUGGAUAGCUAGAAUACUGGAGAGGUGAGUGGAAUUCCGAGUGUAGAGGUGAAAUUCGUAGAUAUUCGGAAGAGCACCAGUGGCGAAGGCGACUCACUGGACAGUUAUUGA
rnacentral:rRNA from 1 species